rnacentral:tRNA from 1 species
GUGGCCUAGUGAAAAGCGUUUUACUCGCAACUAAAGGGUCGUGGGUUCGAAUCCCGCC